ACGGGUGUAGCUCAGCUGGUAGAGCGGCGGUCUCCAAAACCGUAGGUCGUGGGUUCAAAUCCUUCCACCCGUGCCA
rnacentral:tRNA from 2 species